UUCGCAAUGCCCGAAAGGGUGACGAAGCGACGCCGCGUGGAUGAAGAAGGCCUUCGGGUUGUAAAGCCCUGUCAGGAGUUAUGAAAUGUAGGUGCGCUAAUAUCGUGCUUAUUUGACAAAGGCUCCAGAGGAAGCCACGGCUAACUCUGUGCCAGCAGCCGCGGUAAUACAGAGGUGGCAAGCGUUGUUCGGAAUUAUUGGGCGUAAAGAGCACGUAGGUGGAUUUGUUAGUCAGAUGUGAAAGCCUUUCGUUCAACGGAAGAAUUGCAUCUGAAACUACAAACCUUGAGUAUAGGAGGGGAGAGUGGAACUUCUGGUGGAGCGGCGAAAUGCGUAGAUAUCAGAAGGAACGCCGGCGGCGAAAGCGACUCUCUGGCCUAUUACUGACACUGAGUGUGCGAAAGCUAGGGGAGCAAACGGGAUUAGAUGCCCCGGUAGUCCUAGCCGUAAACGAUGGGCACUAAGUAGAGGGGUUUU
rnacentral:rRNA from 1 species